AAACUUUGAUGGAAACAUACAACUAACAUCCGCCAGGGAACUACAAGCGCCAGCUUAAAACCCAAAGGACUUGGCGGUGCCUCAGACCCACCUAGAGGAGCCUGUUCUAGAACCGAUAACCCCCGUUCAACCUCACCACCUCUUGUUUUCCCCGCCUAUAUACCACCGUCGUCAGCUUACCCUGUGAAGGAUUUAUAGUAAGCAAAAUGGGCAAGACCCAAAACGUCAGGUCGAGGUGUAGCGCAUGGGGUGGGAAGAAAUGGGCUACAUUCUCUAAAUUAGAGCNCUACGAACCNCGCUGUGAAACCAGCGUCCGAAGGUGGAUUUAGCAGUAAA
rnacentral:rRNA from 1 species